rnacentral:rRNA from 1 species
UAGGGAAUCUUCACAAUGGACGCAAGUCUGAUGGAGCAACGCCGCGUGAGUGAAGAAGGUUUUCGGACCGUAAAGCUCUGUUGUUGGUGAAGAAGGAUAGAGGUAGUAACUGGCCUUUAUUUGACGGUAAUCAACCAGAAAGUCACGGCUAACUACGUGCCAGCAGCCGCGGUAAUACGUAGGUGGCAAGCGUUGUCCGGAUUUAUUGGGCGUAAAGCGAGCGCAGGCGGAAGAAUAAGUCUGAUGUGAAAGCCCUCGGCUUAACCGAGGAAUUGCAUCGGAAACUGUUUUCUUGAGUGCAGAAGAGGAGAGUAGAACUCCAUGUGUAGCGGUGGAAUGCGUAGAAUAUACUGGAAGAAUACCAGUGGCGAAGGCGGCUCUCUGGUCUGCAACUGACGCUGAGGCUCGAAAGCAUGGGUAGCGAACAGGAUUAGAUACCCUGGUAGUCCAUGCCGUAAAACGAUGAGUGCUAAGUGU